rnacentral:tRNA from 1 species
AGCCCGGUGGUGUAGCGGUCAAUCAUGGGGGUCUCUGGAGCCCCUGACGGGAGUUCGAAUCUCCCCCGGGCUACCA